rnacentral:lncRNA from 1 species
AAAAGAAAAGAAAAGAAAAGAAAAGAAAAGAAAAGAAAAGAAAAGAAAAGGAGUUACAGCCCAUCUGAGCACCUGAAGGCUGGCCUCAGAGGCAAAACCCACAUUGUUUAAUGUGUUGUGUUAUUUUAGGGCACACCUAUGACAUUUAAGAGGCACAUUUUUAAGACUAACCUCAGUGGCAGAAAUCUUCUUUUCUGUAGCAUGGAGUCCUUUGCCCAAGGACAGCACUGUCAGAAGGACACCCACUGCAAUCUGGCCAAAUCCAGUUUUCAGGUGUGUGUUUGAAAGGAAAAUUGCCUGAAAUGACAGUACCAGAAAUCUGCAUGUGCAUUAUCAUAUUUCAUAUUCAAUAUGAGAAUAGAAGUAGAUGAAUCCUCAAUGGCUAAUGACCUUGGAGGACUGUGAUAGCUGGAGAUUUUCUCAGAAUAAGAAAGCCCCACAAGUUUUGGGAUCCAUUGAUGAUGUAUGGUUUGUAUUAUCUUUAGAAAAGACACACUACCAGGGAAAAAUAUUGUAUAUCAUCUCAGCAGGGGACUUGGAGCUGUUUAGCACUAUGUAAUUGGAUCUAGGACUAAUCCUUAACUUUGAUGAGGCCAAGAGGAGCUACACUACUGCUAUUUCCAGCACAUUAAUGAUAGACAAAAUGCUUAAA